AGGGUGACAGGUGGUGCAUGGUUGUCGUCAGCUCGUGUCGUGAGAUGUUGGGUUAAGUCCCGCAACGAGCGCAACCCUUGUCAUUAGUUGCCAUCAUUUGGUUGGGCACUCUAAUGAGACUGCCGGUGACAAACCGGAGGAAGGUGGGGAUGACGUCAAGUCCUCAUGGCCCUUAUGGGUAGGGCUUCACACGUCAUACAAUGGUCGGUACAGAGGGUUGCCAACCCGCGAGGGGGAGCUAAUCCCACAAAGCCGAUCGUAGUCCGGAUCGCAGUCUGCAACUCGACUGCGUGAAGUCGGAAUCGCUAGUAAUCGUGGAUCAGCAUGUCACGGUGAAUACGUUCCCGGGUCUU
rnacentral:rRNA from 1 species